UAUGAACCAUAUGCACACACACAUACGUGUAUAGGUGGUUAAGGAUGUUGAACGGGUAUGAACCAUAUACGCACAAGUGUAUAUGUGGCAGAAGGUGUUGAACUGGGAUGAACCAUAUAUGUGCAAGUGUAUAGGUGGUCAAGUGUAUAUGUGGCAGAAGGUGUUGAACUGGGAUGAACCAUAUAUGUGCAAGUGUAUAGGUGGUCAAAGGUGAUAUAAUAGCAUUAGUUUUCGGUUACCUAAGGUCCAUCUAGUAUACAUGCCUCAAGCCUUAGAGGAUGUUGAAAGAUGAACAAGGUUUUGUUUAGAUAGCCUUCAAAGUUCUUUGAGGGGAUGUUUGGUAAUUGUUGUGGCAAAAAUAUCUCGUGUUCUAACAUUAGGUUCUCUCCUAACUUAGACCAACAUUAGGGUAUCUUACACCUCCUUCCAUAUAAGACUUCAUAAGAUACAAUCACAAUACUAUAAUGGCAAUUAUUGAAUAGGUAAACUCUAUUAAAGGUAAAAAAAAAAAUCCUAACUACAAUUAUCUUAUGUCACGCAUGUUGAAUGGAGAUCCUUUAAAGAUUGGAUGAUACGCUUGGUUUGGCCUUGUUUUUGUGAGUGGGAGGUGAUUUUUGUGAGGCCAUUGCCAGGAGGAGGGUGACGCAUCCCGUCCCGAACCGUCGCCCAUUUCAGUCGCCAACCACCGCGCGCAUAGGGCUGUUCCACUGCACUCCCCAACAACAAAGACAGCGCCACCACCUCCCGCCCUGCUUAGCUGCUCGGUUCUGGAAAAGCAUUGUAGUAAGCAAUUUUGUGUUGAGAAGUGCAAUGAUGAGAUGAAACACCUAAGUGUUUAUGGGCAGUGGACGUUACCCUAAUGUUUCGCCGUGAGCCUGUAUUUUAACGACUUCUCCUUCCACUGAGCACUAUGAUAAAUGUUGGCGGAAAAAGUGUUUGAAUGAAUGCGUAUUAAUGGUUUGUAUAUUAGUGAUUAUAGUUAAUUUUGAAUGUCAAAUAUUAUUGAAUCUAAUGUAUAUUAUUCGCUGCGUCCAUUACCAAUUCUGGGGGAUAUCUAGUUCCUCUUGGUAUAAUGGCUCGGACGCAAGACCAACGAUGUGGUCAUCCUGAUUGAUGGUUUAAUGACAAUACCAUUUGGUCUUGGAAACGCCACCAACAUCAUAAUGGUUAUAGAUAUAGAUGAAUGCAAAUCCGAUUCUUGUGAUUCAAUUUUUAGAUCAAUAUGUAAGAUUAGGU